UACGAAGGGGGCUAGCGUUGUUCGGAUUUACUGGGCGUAAAGCGCACGUAGGCGGUUUGUUAAGUCAGAGGUGAAAUCCCGGAGCUCAACUCCGGAACUGCCUUUGAUACUGGCAAGCUAGAGUCCGGAAGAGGUAAGUGGAACUCCUAGUGUAGAGGUGGAAUUCGUAGAUAUUAGGAAGAACACCAGUGGCGAAGGCGGCUUACUGGACCGUAACUGACGCUGAGGCGCGAAAGCGUGGGGAGCAAACAGG
rnacentral:rRNA from 1 species